rnacentral:rRNA from 1 species
GGUGGUGCAUGGUCGUCGUCAGCCCGUGUCGUGAGAUGUUGGGUUAAGUCCCGCAACGAGCGCAACCCCUACCCCCAGUAGCCAGCGCGUGGAGGCGGGCACUCUGUGGGGACUGCCAGGGACAACCUGGAGGAAGGCGGGGAUGACGUCAAAUCAUCAUGCCCCUUAUGGCUUGGGCUACACACGUGCUACAAUGGCGUUAACAGAGGGAUGCGAUGCGGCGACGCGGAGCGAACCCCAGAAACAGCGCCCCAGUUCGGAUUGCAGCCUGCAACUCGGCUGCAUGAAGCCGGAAUCGCUAGUAAUCGCGGAUCAGAAUGCCGCGGUGAAUACGUUCCCGGGUCUUGUACACACCGCCCGUCACACCAUGGGAGUUGGGAAUGCCCGAAGUCAGUGGCCCAACCGUAAGGGGGGAGCUGCCGAAGGCAGAUCCGAUGACUGGGGUGAAGUCGUAACAAGGUAGCCGUAUCGGAAGGUGCGGUUGGAUCACCUC